rnacentral:rRNA from 1 species
UCGUAAUCAGUUAAAACUUUCAACAACGGACUUCUUGGUUCCGGCAUCGAUGAAGAACGCAGCGAAAUGCGAUAAGUAAUGUGAAUUGCAGAAUUCAGUGAAUCAUCGAGUCUUUGAACGCACAUUGCGCCCCCUGGUAUUCCGGGGGGCAUGCCUGU